rnacentral:rRNA from 1 species
UACGAAGGGGGCUAGCGUUGCUCGGAAUCACUGGGCGUAAAGCGUACGUAGGCGGUUAUUCAAGUCAGAGGUGAAAGCCCGGGGCUCAACCCCGGAACUGCCUUUGAAACUAGAUAGCUAGAAUCUUGGAGAGGUCAGUGGAAUUCCGAGUGUAGAGGUGAAAUUCGUAGAUAUUCGGAAGAACACCAGUGGCGAAGGCGACUGACUGGACAAGUAUUGACGCUGAGGUGCGAAAGCGUGGGGAGCAAACAGG